GACAGAGGGUGCAAACGUUGCUCGGAAUUACUGGGCGUAAAGCGCGUGUAGGCGGACGUGUAAGUCAGUUGUGAAAUCCCCGGGCUCAACCCGGGAACUGCACUUGAAACUGCGCGUCUUGAGUACUGGAGAGGGUAGUGGAAUUCCUGGUGUAGAGGUGAAAUUCGUAGAUAUCAGGAGGAACACCGGUGGCGAAGGCGGCUACCUGGACAGUCACUGACGCUGAGACGCGAAAGCGUGGGGAGCAAACAGG
rnacentral:rRNA from 1 species